rnacentral:rRNA from 1 species
AAUUUUUGAAAAUGGGGGAAACCCUGAUCCAGCCAGCCCGCGUGUGCGAUGAAGGACAUAGGGAUGUAAAGCACUUUUGGCAGGAAAAAAACGUUCCGGGUUAAUACCCCGGGAAACUGACGACACCUGCAGAAUAAGCACCGGCUAACUACGUGCCAGCAGCCGCGGUAAUACGUAGGGUGCAAGCGUUAAUCGGAAUUACUGGGCAUAAAGCGUGCGCAGGCGGUUCGGAAAGAAAGAUGUGAAAUCCCAGAGCUUAACUUUGGAACUGCAUUUUUAACUACCGAGCUAGAGUGUGUCAGAGGGAGGUGGAAUUCCGCGUGUAGCAGUGAAAUGCGUAGAUAUGCGGAGGAACACCGAUGGCGAAGGCAGCCUCCUGGGAUAACACUGACGCUCAUGCACGAAAGCGUGGGGAGCAAACA